rnacentral:rRNA from 1 species
GACGAACCGUGCGAACGUUGUUCGGAUUCACUGGGCUUAAAGGGCGCGUAGGCGGGUCAUCAAGUCCGGGGUGAAAUCUUUCGGCUUAACCGGAAAAUAGCCUUGGAUACUGGUGGUCUGGAGGGAGGUAGGGGCAUGCGGAACUUCCGGUGGAGCGGUGAAAUGCGUAGAUAUCGGAAGGAACGCCGGUGGCGAAAGCGGCGUGCUGGACCUCUUCUGACGCUGAGGCGCGAAAGCCAGGGGAGCAAACGGG